GCCCCGUUACUUGACCGUGGGCUACACACGUGCUACAAUGGGCGGUACAAAGGGCUGCGAACCCGCGAGGGGGAGCGAAUCCCAAAAAGCCGCUCUCAGUUCGGAUUGCAGGCUGCAACUCGCCUGCAUGAAGCCGGAAUCGCUAGUAAUCGCGGAUCAGCAUGCCGCGGUGAAUACGUUCCCGGGCCUU
rnacentral:rRNA from 1 species